UUAAAUUUAAAUUGUUUCGUUUUUUAAUUAACUUUUAACUAGACAAUUUAUUGAUUGUCUUUAAUUAAAUUUCUCUAUGCAGUUGAUUGGUUUAACAUUGAAUAACAAUAAAUCUUUUUCCAUUUUUUAUUCCAAGUGUCCCUAAGGAAUUUUUGUCCAAUCUUUAGGUUAAUUGGAAGGAAAUUUCAAUGAACAUCUUGAAAUGAACGAUAGUAAUUGUAGAACGUUUUCUUUCCACAAAGAGAAUAAGAUGGUCUCUAUACUCUCUCCGUGUUAUUUGGUUCGAAAGGAGCAAAAAAGGAACGAGUUGUAAUGUGUAUUCCAGUUAGAAAGUCAUUAUCGAACCGCAAAUCAUUUCUUCUUAAACCAUUUGACUAAUAAUCAACUAACAAAUAAAAGAUGGAGGAAAAAAAAGGAAGGAGAAAAAAGAUAAAUAACAAGAGAGAUACAGAUUUAUUUACAUACAGCGAUACAUCUAAAUAAAUCAGUUCACUGUUGCUGUUGUAACCUCUCAAGUUCAACUCUCAUCAAUUAUACAUGGACAUACUUUCUCAGUUAAUUUAUCUCUUUCACUUUCCAUCUUUAACACUCAAACAACAGUCUUUGUACACUUGAUAUAAUUGAUUAGUAUCAAUUAAUUGGUCUUCUAUUGGUACUGGAAAAAGAGAAAGGAUUGAGUCUCCAUCAACUGUUACCAAGAGAAUAUUUUUGAUAUUUUAAAAUUUUUCUCCAUCAAUUUUUAUUACACAUCAUGUGUAUAUUUUACCGGCUCAUUUUGUCAACAAUCAACAAUCUCCCAUAUCAAUUGCCUAAAUCGUUAAUUACUCUUAUUAAGGAAGAUGCUGAUUAAUUAAUUAACUGGUAUGGUUGAUGAUUCCAAUUUGUUAUUAACUCAACAGAAAUAAACUCGUAAGGUCCUUUUCCAUUGGGAUAUAACAUGGUAGAUGUAAAACCCAAAAUCAUCUCAAGCAAGAUUCAUCUGGGAUAAUUAAUACAUGGUGUAAAUUAAUAAAGCCAUUGGAAUAAAUAACAAGCCUGUUUAACAUGGAUACUAAUCAGUCCAAGUUGAUGUUACCUUGAUUUUGAAAGUAUCUCAAUGCCAUGGCCAUGAUGUUUGAUUAUCGCUGAUGAUAAUUGUUUACACAAAUUGAUUGUUCACAGUUUCAUUUACUAUCUGGAUUUUUUCAAAGUAUCUUAUGGAAAACUAUUCAACCUGUUGAACGAUUUUCUUCAGAAGUUGAUAUGGAACAGAAAUUCGUAUACACUCAUUGAUAAUCAUGGAGAUUAUAUGUUGAUAUAGAUUCUGUAUGAAUACUCUGCUGAAUACCUCCUAUAUUCAUGACUGGAUAUCAUGAAUUUUAUCAACUUGAACAGCAACUUGUGGCUUUUUCCUUCUUUGGUUAACUGUUGUUGGUUUACUAUUCCAAUCAAUCUGUUUACCUCAACCAAAUACAAUCUCAUCCAUCCAUUGAUCCAUUUCUAAAUCCUCAUAACAACCAAGGAUAAUACAUGUAAUCUACCUUUCUAAUCAUCAUCAUCAUCGGAAUAAGGAUACAUCUUAAUACAAGGAAAAGCUUAAUUGUAAUAAUCGUAAAAAUUGUCUGUCACAUUAAUAAAAUAACCAUUAACCUCAAUGGUCCAAGAUCAAAUUGCUUACGAUUGUAAGUUAAUAGGAAAUUAAAUUAUCCAUUGAUAACAAUAAUAAUCUAAAUCCUCUUAAGACAGCUGAUGAUGAUCCUUUAAAGUGUCUUGAACAUGUUUACCAUCAAUUAUCAUCCUUUUGUUAUGUUACAUCACCUUAAAUUGUUUACCAUCAAUGAUAAUUAACAUUGUAUUAUAAGGAAAAUGAUGAGAUGCUAAUCAAAAGUAACUCAUUUUAUCCGAAACAUUUUCUUGUACAACUAAUUAGAGUAAAUCUAACAGGUAAUAGAUUCUAAUUGAUAACUCGU